rnacentral:ncRNA from 4 species
CCGCACUGUGGGUACUUGCUG